rnacentral:rRNA from 1 species
GCCCGGCCAUACCACCUUAAAUGUGCCUGAUCGCGUCUGAUCUUGGAAGCUAAGCAGGGUCAGGCCUGGUUAGUACUUGGAUGGGAGACUGUCUGGGGGAAUACUGGGUGCUGUAGGCU